GCUCCGGCCGGCCGGCAGGGGGCGCGCGCUCCCCGAACUCCCGCGCACCGCGGAGAAGGCGGCCCUGGCGCCGGGAAGCAGUGGGAAAAUCGCAAGGAAGCCGGUGCACGUGCCGUAUGUGACUUGGCUUGGCUUCCCCUGAAAGCAGCGGCUGUGGGGAGUUGAUUCGGAAGUGAAGGGCCCUGGGCGACCCGGCGAGUAGAGGCAACACCAACACUCCUCCUUAGCGAGGGGUCUCCCCGCCGCGGUGGCUGCCCGGCCCCAAGGACAGGAGGGAUUUGUGCACUGACUCCUGACCCCGUCCUCCAGCGCUGCUCUGAAGGGAGAGUCUGUGCAGUGGCACCUGCGCGAAGCUGGCCAAAGCCUGCUCAGACUGCUCACCUGUGCGGGAUGGAACAAAAGAAUUUCGCUGUUGUUGCCCAGGCUGGAGUGCAAUAGCAAGAUUUCAGCUCACCACGACCGCCGCCUCCCACGUUCAAGCGAUUCUCCUGCCUCAGCCUCCCAAGUAGCUGGGAUUACAGGCAUCUGCCAGCACGCCUGGCUAAUUUUUGUAUUUUUAGUAGAGACAGGGUUUCUCUAUGUUGGUCAGGCUGGUCUUGAACUCCCGACCUCAGGUAAUCCAUCCGCCUUGGCCUCCCAAAGUGCUGGGAUUACAGGCGUGAGCCCGGUCAUCUGCAUAUUUUCUUUUGCAAAUCUCAGGGUUCUGUUUUUUUGUUUUAUUUUGUUUUGUUUUGAGACAGAGUCGUUCUGUCACCGAGGCUCGAGUGCAGUGGCGUGAUCUAGUCUCAGUGCAAUCUCCGCCUCCCAGGUUCAAGUGAUUCUCCUGCCUCAGCCUCCAAGUAGCUGAGAUUACAGGCAACUGCCACCGUGCCUGGCUAAUUUUUGUAUUUUUUUAGUAGAGACGGGGUUUCACCAUGUUGGCCAGGCUGGUCUCCAACUCUUGAUGUCAGGUGAUCCACCUGCCUUGGCCUCCCAAAAUGCUGGGAUUACAGGUGUAAGCCACUGCGCCCAGUCUACUUCAUAUUAUUAAGAAAUCCAUGAAAAUAUAAUUGUAAUGGCUGUAACAUGUCUUCACAUAAACUAAUUGGAGUAUAACAGUUUCCAUCAAAUCUAAAAUAUCAUCAAUUUUAAGUCCCACCAUUAUUCUCUGUACUACUACGAACAAAUUCUGGCCUGGCACGGUGGCUCAUGCCUGUAAUCCCAGCACUUUGGGAGGCCGAGGCAGUCAGAUCACCUGAGUUCAGGAGUUCCAGACCGGCCUGGCCAACCUAUCUCUACUAAAAAUACAAAAAUUAGCCUGGCGUGGUGGCAUGUGCCUAUAGUCCCAGCUACUUGUUGGGAGGCUGAGGCAGGAGGAUCA